rnacentral:snoRNA from 1 species
UGAUGAUCCCCUUACUGCACACCAGAAUGAGCCUCGCGUUGAUUCUUUGUCCGCCCUGAUU